UUUAUAUUUUAGUACGAUGUAAAAUGCAAGAGUUUAUCUUAUAAACACUUGAAUUCGGUAAAUUAUUGACACAUUCAACACUACUGAACUACUAUAUGCUAUCACCGGCCCACGAAAAGUUUUCUUGAAGUUGGCUUUUCAUUGGAUGAACAAUUUCUUUUUAUAUAGGUAUAGUUGGUGCCAAUUAGAGGAACAUCCACAAGCUCUAAAGUUUCAAUAAAAUUAUGAAAUUCAGUCAUUUCCUGGGUUCCUCUACGUUGAGUUGAAUCCCUCCGCACCCUCAUAAGUAGUUUGAGAUAUUAUGGUUAAAAUAAUGGUAAAUGUUGAAUUUUUAAAAUUAUAGAUAAAUAAAACAAAUUAUUUUACAAAAGCAGCAAAUAUAUUUGUGUACUUUAAAUUCUUAAUGAAUCACAACUAUUUUUUAUGUU